UUUUUCUCCUCCACCUGCUCCUCUGUCUCCUUCCGUUCUCUUUCCUCCAUCCCUCUCUUUAUCUUCGUCUCCAAAGCCGCCAUAGUCUUCCUCAACCUCUCCGUCUCAGCCUUCUCACUCUCCAGCUGCGUCUUCCAUUCCUUGUCCUGCCCGUCCUUCUCUGCAGCCUGGCUGGCACGUUUCCUGCUGAGUUGUUUCAGCCGGGUCCUGGCUUCUGUCUCUGCCCGUCGUUGGGUUUCAAGGUCCUCAAGUCGUUUCUGCAGUUCUUCACGUGUAUCCUGUAACUCUGAACGCAGUGUGGCAUUCUCCCUCUUGAGGUCUUCAGAGUCCUUGAGAGAAGGAGUGUUUUCAGCAGAGAUCUUCAAACUGCACUGAUCCACAUCCAUGGAUGUGAUGAAUCCAGGGAGAUACGGUCAGUGAUGUGUUCCGCAUCGAUGCCUUCGCCUGGCUCUCUGUCAGAGGGGUAAGAUGCUGCAAUCUCUGCCCUUCUCUUAUCCAAGUCCUCUUCCCUCCUCUGCUCGUCUAAGGUGGUGGCACUGGGCCUCUUGAGUUCUUUGAGAAGACGAAGGGCGUCGGCUCGCUCCUCUGCCAGUCUCCUCCCCUCCUCUUCCAGAGCUCGCUCUCUCUUCUUGCUCUGCUCCAGACUCACUGCCACACCCUCUGCCUCACGCAGCGCUUCCUAAUGAGAGGGAAAAAUAUACAAAUAAGGUGGAUUGUAUCCAGGGUGAUAGUUGGAGUUCUCAGUUGAACAUUUAUUCUCCAUAACAACUCUCUGUUUUGAGACGGAAUUGUGAAAUUUGUGUCUGUUGUCAUUAAAACAUCAACAUUAGCCUCUCUACAAGAUGUCUACCAGAUGUAUUUCCAUGAUAAGACAUCCUUCAUUUCUAUUUAAUAGCCAUUAAUAACUAUUUCAUUUUCAUUUAGAUUUUUGCACCGGGCUGUUUGUAUUUGUGCAGACAUCCAGAUAAGGAACAAUAUCAUUUGUAAGAGCUAUGUAUCGACGGCUACAUGUAAACACAGUGUCACAAUAACAACAAACCACAGACAAAGAAGCCACAGGCAGGGCAGCAUUAAUGCUGAUGUUGCAAGCUGCUAAACAUGAAAUGAACAGCCACAAACAAACUUCUCUGGAGUGUUUAAUAUCCUCUGCAGUGUGGCUGUUCCGAGCUUUACUCUAAUUCUAUUAGUUUUAGCAGCGGCUUUUCUUGUGCGCAAGUUCAGCUGUUCACAAUUCAGAUUCAGUAUUAGUAAUAUAACAGUUGGGUUAUGUUCGAGUACAGAGGGUUUGAAGGUUCAACCCUUGCCAUAGUGACUGCCAGGGGAGGCAAUUUAUCUAUGAGACAACUCAUCUUUUUAGCUCUGUGAAAUGCACUCUAAUGCCACACCUUUAUUAAAACCAUAUGUGCAGCUGGAUGAUUGAA